rnacentral:tRNA from 1 species
GCUCCCUUCGUCUAGUGGUUCAGGACGUCGCCCUCUCACGGCGGUAACACCGGUUCGAAUCCGGUAGGGAGUACCA